rnacentral:lncRNA from 1 species
GGCGCAACAGUUGGUGGCUUGCGGCGCUGGUCAGAGGCAGGGUGGGUAGCUGGCGGCAUCUAGGGUUUCAGAAAAUGAAACCCUAGUUAGAUAUUUUUUAGGGAAAUUGGGCCUGGCUAUUGGGCUUCGGGUUUGGGUGUAAAUGGGUAAAUUUGGGCUUGGUUUUGCUGGGUUAGGUCUGUUAGGGGCUAAAUUUGGGUUGUUGGGCUAUUCGGGUUUUGUAUUGUAAUUGGGCCCGGGUUUUU